AAAAUAAAAAUAAUCCAUGUAAUUUAGGUAUGCAGUCCAUAUACAAAGACUCGUGUUUAAAGAUUGCCUUCAAGCGUACGGACUAUAAAGUUCAAAUUUUUAAAGGACUUCAUAUAGAUUGCAAGCAACCAUUAUACAAAUAAAAGAAAACAUAUGAAACCAAGUGAAGGUUUCAUUACAAAUUAUAAAAAUCAGUACCAAGAAAUUAAAAAUUAUAGGAUACAAGUAGCAACAAGAACAAAAGAAAGUAUUACAUCAACUGAAACUCAGUAGCUUAUUUAAGAAUCCACAUUUUCUAUUUCAAGAAAUAGGAAGGUGGGGAUGAAGCUUAGUACUCAACUUUUGGAGAAGGUGAGUAUGAUGGUGGGGGUGGGGAACUGUAAACAUAUGGUGGUGGAGGAG
rnacentral:lncRNA from 1 species